rnacentral:rRNA from 1 species
AUACGGAGGGUCCAAGCGUUAUCCGGAAUCAUUGGGUUUAAAGGGUUCGUAGGCGGGUCAAUAAGUCAGAGGUGAAAUCUUGCAGCUUAACUGUAAAAUUGCCUUUGAUACUGUUGACCUUGAAUUACUGUGAAGUGGUUAGAAUAUGUAGUGUAGCGGUGAAAUGCUUAGAGCUUACAUAGAAUACCGAUUGCGAAGGCAGAUCACUAACAGUAUAUUGACGCUGAUGAACGAAAGCGUGGGUAGCGAACGGGAUUAGAUACCCUAGUAGUCC